GCUGGGAAUUGAAUGCAGUCACCUGACUCCACAGCUUGCGAUCUUAAUUCUUUUCCAAUUUACUUGAGACUACCAGGCAAACAUACAAGCCCUGAUUAAGUGGUGAUGUGGUGGUCUCCUGGAGGACAAGGCCUAUCCUAUCCUACACUUUCUCUGGGGUCCCUGGAGCACACCGGGCCCAGAGCAGUAAAUACAGCAGAACUGUGGUUUUAGAAACAGAGACCUUUGUGAUCCUCUGUGUGUGCACAAUCCUAAAUUGCCCUCUAUGAAAGAAAGAAAAUAGUGAUAUGCUAGCCCUCAGUGUUGGCAUCACCAGCACCAGCAGUCAGCCUUCUUAGGAAGGCAGCUUUUCACAAAGACCUCUGUGCUAGUUUCAGGAGAAUGGAGGAGUUGGCUCCAGGAGGAGAGAGCAGCCACAGUGCUGGCUUUGUUCCGCUGUGGGUGCCGCGUCUGUCCACCAGCCUGCGGAAUUCAAAUCUGUGCCUCCGCGACGUGACCCAUUACCACGCAUCACACCCUUCUGAGACAUUCGUGAGCGGCUGGCUGGUGUUUUGACUGUCACAUCUGCGUCUGCCAAGUUGCUGCCAUUUGUUCUCCUUAAACACAUCUAGCAGAGUUCAAAAGAGGCUCAGGCUGAUUCCUCAUGAAGAAAGCUGGCCUCAGAGGGGGUGGCCCAAGGGGUCUAAAGAGGCUAAGACCAAGGAAUUCACCACCAUCAGAGCCUUUGGAUUCUGAAGCCCUUAAUAAGAUGAAAAAGUAAUAAAUCAUCUUGCUGGCUCUUUUACUCUUUCAAUACAAAAACUUUCAAUGAGACCAGACUUCGGACCAGCAUAUUCUGUCCUGUGGACAGACCCUGUGGGAAACCAAAUCAUCGUCAUCUAAAGGUUGCUGUGAGAAAGGUAGUCACCCCAGUGCCAGCACACAUUGGAGUCAUUUUGCUUGAAAAGCUUGAUGAUGCCAUCGGCACGGUGGAGACAUCCUGGACGCUGGGACCGAUAGAGUCCUUCAUUCUGCAGAUAUUUAUUGAAUGCUUGUUGUGCUUCGGGCACUGUUGUAGGCACUAGGAAUAUAGCAGUGAACAAAGCCAACAAAAAUUUACUUUCUAGCUAGUAGGUGAGGCAAUAAUAAUGAAAUAGAUUAGUGAACUAGAUGAUAUGUAGAAGGUGGUAAGUGCUAUGGGGAAAAAACUAAGCGGGGAGGAGGGAGGGAGUAUGAGGAGUGAGGAGAAUUUGUUAUUUUAAUUGAGGUGGUCAGAAAAGGCCUCCGAACCUGAAGACUUGAAGGACUGAGAGUGAAGUAUGUGGAAGACCUUGGGAGGAACAUUCCAGAGCUUCCACAGUUGGUGCAAAGGCCCCGAGGCAGGAGCACAGCCGGGGACAGUAUGGCUGGAGUGGGAGAAGGGUGGGAGGGGAUGGGGGUGCAGACUGGUGAGGAGGAGAUGCACCCAGAGGUGAGUGGGGAAGGUCCAGAUCUUAGAGGGUCCUACGGGCUGCUCUGAGGACUUUGGCUUUUUCUCUGAAUGAGAUGUGGGGCUCCCAGGGGCGUUGAGCAGGAAAGAACAUGAUCUGCCUCGUGUGACAAGGGCACUUUGGGCAAAGGCAGAAGCAGAGACCACAUUGGAGGCUUCGUGAUAAACGAGACAUGGUGGCCCACACCAAGACACUGGCAGUGGAGGCUGGGGACCUGGUGGCCACCAUGUCCCCAGUAUAGAGCUUGGCAAGCACAGCAACAGGUCGGGGAGCUGAUGGCCACCAUGUCCCCAGUCUUGGCAAGCACAGCAACAGGUCCCUCCUCUGUAUUCUGUGCGUCCACAGCAGACAGCCACCUGCUUUUGAUCAAUAAUUUCCAGUUUAAUUAACAAUCAUCUUGGUGUGAUGCAAGGGACAUUCUCCUUAGAGUGACUCUUAUUAUCUAUUAAGUACUAUUUUAUGAGUUAGCUCUCAGAUAAUAAUUUUAUUUAUAGAUUCUUGGGGCCACCUCACUGCUGUCCCGAGAUGUAACAGAUUGACUGAGGUCAGACGCAGAAAACUGCCUUCUAAGUUUCUGGGUGCACACAUCUGUAUGUCAGCAGUAGAUUAGCAGCCAUCCUGGUUAUGGCCUGAGAACCUUGUCUCUCUCAGUGCAAUUACAUCUGCCUGGUUCCCAUAGGGGCUGCCUCUGAUUAGCUCUAGCAUCUCCAACGUGGGGGUUGAGGCCCAGUGGUUGCCUCUCCAUGCACUCUGGGGACCUUAUAACUGCCCAGUCAGGGUGCUGCUACAUGACAUUUGCAAACUGAAUCAGCAAACUUUAGCACACUGUUCACAAUUCUUUUGGAUUCCUUCCCAUGCCCUAAUGUGCAAACACUGGAUUCGCUGUUCUGCAUGGCUGGGCCUCCGUGGAGCUCCCAUGCUCUGCCUGCUCACCAGGGCUCUGCUGCUCUUUUACCACCAGAUUGCCCUUGGCAAGGCUUGUAUUGAACCUUUCUUCUGCUUCCAUUUGUUCAUCUAUUGCUACCAUUGUUUGUCUUCUAAACAAAUAUCUGCAAAUGAGCUGAUAAAACUUUAAAGAAUUCUUUCCUCCAUCUCUCCUACUUUUGGUAAUGGUAUUUUUGGACCCUGGCUUUACCUUAGCAUCACCUGGGGAGCUUUAAAAAUAUUACAGUGCCUGGACCCCACUUUAGACCCAUUGAAUCAGAACGUGAAGGGGGGCUUUGGCUUCACUAUGUUUUAAAAGCUCCCCAGAUGAUUCUGAUGUACAAUUUCACUUUCUUGCUACAAGUAGACAUAAACAGGGCCUAGCUCCGCAGGCUGUUCAGGCUUCUCGUUCACCAACUCAAAGGUUCAUCUCUAAAUGAGGCCUUAGAGAGUCACAGAGAGUCAGUGAAGGGGCUGAAACAUGAAAACGUUCAUUAUAUGAAUUAAAUUCUCUGUUCGGUUACCAGAACACAUGGCCUGUAAUGAACUAUGAAUUAAUGUAGUUUUAGUCCAUAAUCCAUUUUGAAUAGCACAAUAUUUCAUUGUAUUUUGUGUGUAUGUGUUAAAAGCAAUGAUGUGUUAAUUUUAAGUGAUUAUAAUAAAAUGUUUUCCAU
rnacentral:lncRNA from 1 species